CGGCCAUAUAGCGUUGAUAGACCGGUUCCCGUACGAUCACCGAAGUUAAGCAAAGUUGAGCCUGAUCAGUAUGGUCAGGUGGGUGACCUCUAGGGAAUACCAGGUGCUGUAAG